ensembl:lncRNA
UGUAAUGAGUCUUUGUAGUGAAUUGAAUGGAUGCUGCUAAACCAGUAAGCCAAUUCUCGAUUGUAUGAGUCAGCUCUUUUUAAUUAAUCAGACUUAUGCAGCUGUGUAGGCCGAUUCCCAAACGAAUGACUCUUGAGUCAAAUAGCAAGUCAAACAGAUGCAGAACCAACGUCCUAUUCCUAAACGAAUGACUCAAGGCAUAACCAGUGUAGUCUGUUUCCCAAACGAAUGACUCUGAGUUGGUUCUUUUAAGUGAAUCAAACCCAUGCAACUGAAACUUGAAAAAAAAAAUCCAGUUAUUUAUUCCUUAGAAAAUUGGAAAUGGAGUCAUUAAUGCUAUUUGCAUGCCUGGAAAACACUUCAUGUGCACUAUUUCUCUGUGUCCUCUCUUUUCGUCCCUCCAGAGCAGUGACCACACCCUUGGCCCAUUUCUGUGAAAGUGCAGAUGGGUAAUCCCACAAUAAUUAUUUCCAGAUUAGGAGAAUUGGGCCACAAAGCAGGCCUAGUCAGGCAUGAAAUGGCCUCUCAAACACAGCAGCGGCAGCUCCAGACGACCACCUGCCUGACACUAACUCGCCUCACCUGGACCGAAAGACUGAAACAGUCAAGAAAACCAUGCAGUGUCUUUGGAGAAAAGACUGUGAGCUUUCAAGAAGAAUGGAAAGGUGAGCCUUCAAGGUAGAAGAUUUUUCCAAGAAAGUCCAACACUUGGGGAAACAAGAGAAGCAACUGCUAUCUAACAGUACACAUGAGGCCCAGACGCACAAUGGAGACGCUGGUCCUUGAAAAACUCUGGCGUAUUUCCAAAGGCCCGGAUCCUGCUCAGGAGCGAUUGAUGGGAAUUUGGGAGACACAAUGGAGCGGCGGAUUGGCUUUAACUCUCACCUGCGUAAAUGAAACUGUAGAGGUCAGAGCUGAAUAACACCAAAACCAGCAUUCAUGAGCGUUAUUUUCACGACUGCAUUUACAUGCAUCAGGAUUAUGCAGCUUUCAGAAUUAAACUGAGGAUGCUUUUAAUAUGCCUUUUAGAAGAAGAAUAGGGGGAAAAUGUAUAAAGUGCAGUUUUAUAUACAUUUUCAGUAUAUGACCCAUAAACGUCAUUAUGCACAGCAGUGGUGUUACUGUAAACUACAAUCGAAAUAGAAGUGUGUGUGUGUGUGUGUGUGUGUGUGUGUGUGUGUGUGUGUGUGUGUGUGUGUGUGUGUGUGUGUGUGUGUAUAUAUAUAUUUGUUUGUAUGUAUGUGUAUUUAAAUAUAUAACAAAAAAUAAUAAAAAUGACAAUCAAAUCA